rnacentral:rRNA from 1 species
CCCGACUGCUAUCGGAUUGGGACUAAGCCAUGCGAGUCAACUCCGCAAGGGGUGGCGCACGGCUCAGUAACACGUAGUCAACCUACCCUGGGGACGGGGAUAACCUCGGGAAACUGAGGCUAAACCCCGAUGGGCCAUGGCUCCUGGAAUGGGCUAUGGCUGAAAUCUACAUGGCCCCAGAAUGGGACUGCGGCCGAUCAGGUUGUUGGUGGGGUAAUGGCCCACCAAGCCUAUAACCGGUGCGGGCUCUGAGAGGAGGAGCCCGGAGAUGGGCACUGAGACAAGGGCCCAGGUCCUAUGGGGCGCAGCAGGCGCGAAACCUCCGCAAUGGGCGAAAGCCCGACGGGGUCAGUCCGAGUGGUUCCCGCUGAGGGAACCUUUUGCCAGCUGUAAACAGGCUGGCGAAUAAGGGGUGGGCAAGUUUGGUGUCAGCCGCCGCGGUAAUACCAGCACCCCGAGUGGUCGGGACGAUUAUUGGGCCUAAAGCAUCCGUAGCCGGCCCAGUAAGUCCUCCGUUAAAUCCAACGGCUCAACCGUUGGGCUGCGGGGGAUACUGCUGGGCUAGGGGACGGGAGAGGCGAGGGGUAUUCCCGGGGUAGGGGUAAAAUCCACUGAUCCCGGGAGGACCACCAGUGGCGAAGGCGCCUCGCUAGAACGUGCCCGACGGUGAGGGAUGAAAGCUGGGGGAGCGAACCGGAUUAGAUACCCGGGUAGUCCCAGCCGUAAACGAUGUAGGCUCGGUGUUGGGCUGCCUCAAUGGCAGCCCAGUGCCGCAGGGAAGCCGUUAAACCUACCGCCUGGGGAGUACGGCCGCAAGGCUGAAACUUAAAGGAAUUGGCG